GACAGAGGAGAGUGGAAUUUCGUGUGUAGGGGUGAAAUCCGUAGAUCUACGAAGGAAUGCCAAAAGCGAAGGCAGCUCUCUGGGUC
rnacentral:rRNA from 1 species